rnacentral:rRNA from 1 species
GUGUCAGCAGCCGCGGUAAUACGGGGGGAGCAAGCGUUGUCCGGAAUCACUGGGCGUAAAGGGCGUGUAGGUGGGGCUGUAAGUCAGAAGUGAAAUCUGUUAGCUUAACUAACAAACCGCUUCUGAUACUAUAGUUCUUGAGUGAGACAGAGGAAAGUGGAAUUCCUGGUGUAGCGGUGAAAUGUGUAGAUAUCAGGAAGAACACCAGCAGCGAAGGCGGCUUUCUGGGUCUUUACUGACACUGAGGCGCGAAAGCGUGGGGAGCAAACAGGAUUAGAUACCCUGGUAGUCCACGCCUUAAACUAUGAGCACUAGGUGUUGGAGGAUUUGACCCCUUCAGUGCCGAAGCUAACGCAUUAAGUGCUCCGCUUGGGGAGUACGAUCGCAAGGUUGAAACUUAAAUGAAUUGACGGGG